UGAACUGUGAAGGUUUUUUUAUGUUUUUAAAAAAGCCUCUUGACAAUCCUUCCCCUACAAACUUCUACCCUAUUCGUCCUCCUCCAUCAAAGACAUAUUUUUUGCAAUUGUAUUUAACAGUCAUGGCCUCACUUUUCAUUCACUCAUCAGUUCACUGCAUUAUGGAUUUAUGGGCUUAGAAUCCGCUUCUCCUCUUAUACUCAUCUCUAAAACAUUACUGAGAUUUUUAAAAGGUCAGCCCUCUCGGGUUCAUCCUUGUUUCACCUCUCUUCAGCUCUUGACUUUGUUGAAAAUAUGUUCUUUCUGAAGAUAUCUUUUAUCUUAGAUUAUAUCACACAACUUACUCUUGCUUCUGUUUCCACUUUCUUCUUGAUAAAUUAAAGAUUUGUACGUCACGGGCUUUUUGUACUUAGCCCUAGAGAUUUAAAUGUGACAUACACACCAAAACUUCUAACUCCACAACUCCAAUGUCAGCAUUUCCUCUGGUAUAGUCACAUAGAUCAAACUGCCUAAUCUUUUAGCUGGUUUUCAUAAGACCUCAAAGUUUGCAUGUGAAAAUCUAAAUCACUAUCUCCCAUCUUCAACAACAAAAGGUAUAUAGCCACAGCCUGUACCCAGACCCUUAUGACCUCUGGCAUUUGUGCAAUAA
rnacentral:lncRNA from 1 species